rnacentral:tRNA from 1 species
GGGUACGUAGUUCAGUCUGGAAGAACAGCCAGCAUCAACGGUGACGACGGUCGGGGAAUCCUUCGGGAUUCUUCUGUUGAUUUGCGUCAUCGCCGGAGACGCUGGAAAGCCCUUGGUUCGAGUCCAAGCGUGCCCA